CCCCCCCGUUUUGUUUGUUUGUUUUGUUUCGUUGUGUUUUCCUUCCCCCUCGCAAAGCGACCCCGGAGCCUCGCAUUGCCCCACGCCGGGGGCAACUCUCCCGCGGCCCCGACGGCGACCCGCGGCCACCUCCGAGGGGAACGGCGGGGCGCAGCCCACCGGGCCCUGCCUGCAGCCGCGACCCCGCCAGGAAACGUCGCCUCUCCGCCGGCACAGGGCCUGCCGCCCCCGGCCGCCGCCCCCCGCACCGCUGUAACGUCGCAAACGCCCUCGCCUGCAGAAUAAAAACCGAUGCAGAGCAGCCUCGUCUCCCCGACCCUCUGUGCCGCGCCCGUCGGGGGGACAGCGGGGUGGGGGCUGAGGAGAGCCGGACACCGUUUCCCCGGCCCCGACGGACGCGAAAGCGACCCCAGGAGCCUGCGCCCAUGGACGGGGAGGGCGGCGCGAUGCGGCCGGGCAAAACCCAACGCGGCCUCGGCAAUGAGCGGCCCUGGGGAAGGAGGGCAGCAAGGAGACGCAACAAGGAAGGAAUAACAUGAUCAACCCUGUCCACAGAAAGUCCUUGAAUUUCCACUCUCUCCAGUUCAUUCGUUAAUGCUCGGCACUUUUGCAGGCGGCUGGAGCUCCUGGCUGGCGCUUGCACCACACGUUACCGAGAUUCCUUUUGUCUCUGAGCACAAAAAAGCAGAGAACGGUUGUGAAACCAUAUGCUUGACCGAAAGUGGCUUAGAAAGAUUUCUUCUCAGCCAAACUCCUCCUGAACACAGCGAAAAAAAGAAGCCGCAGAGCUAUCGGGAUUGAAGACAGAGUCUCUUCAUAUUGCACAGGAAAACAAAGUCAAGACUUUGUGAGUACGUUCCAGGAAGGUUUACGCGGAAGAGUCGUCAAUAUUUAUCAGGGUAACGAGAACCAUCCAGCACAGCAGCUAACUGGCGGGUGACAGACACAUCAAGAUUGUUUAGGCAGAGAGACAGCUUGUUACCCUGUCUUGAUCUC
rnacentral:lncRNA from 1 species